GGGGACAACCCAGACUGGGGUUAAGGACCCAAAGUGCUGGCUAAGUGAUAAAUCAAAGGGCGUCGUAAUCCUAAAACAGAGGGGAGGUAGGCUUAGAGGCAGCCAACCUUUAAAGAAAGCGUAACAGCUCACCCGCCGAGGAUUGGGGCCCCGAAGAUGGACGGGUCUAAAGCCAGCCUCCGAUACCCCAGAGGUGCAUCUUGGAAUGCACUCCAGUAGGAGGGCGUCCCGAUUGGGCCGAAGCAGGGCCGUGAGGUCCUGUGGACCGCGUUCGAAUGAUAAUCAUGGAAAUAGUAGUAGCGUAGAUGGGUGAGAAUCCCAUCCGCCGGAGGGGCUAGGGUUCCUCGACGAUGUUCAUCAGUCGAGGGUUAGUCGGUCCUAAGGUUCCCCCUAACAGGAGGAAUCGAAAGGGAAGCAGGUUAAAAUUCCUGCACCAAUUCACAUUUUGUCCAUUUCCUGACACAUCGGGUCCAGUGGAACACUCUUGUCUGAGUGUUGCCUUCAGCAAUAAAUUUGUGGAGUACCGUAAUGGUGAGAAACAAACUAAGCUGUUGGGAGGCGAAGUAUUUCGCUUCUGCUCUAGCCUGGUGUCCGUGAAAAGGGAUCUGGAGUCGUGUGAGUUGUCCGUACCGAGAUCUGACACAGGUGCCCCUAGGUGAGUAGCCUAAGGCGUCGCGGCAGAAUCCGGGCGAGGGAAUUCGGCAAAUUAGCCCCGUACCUUUGGUAUAAGGGGUGCCAGCUCUGUAGAGAGCUGGUCGCAGUGACUAGGGAGCUCCGACUGUUUACUAAAAACACAGGUGGCUGCUAGUCCGUAAGGAUGAGUAUAGCCGCUGACUUCUGCUCACUGCCAGUACGUGAACGCCCUGUUCAAGGGGUCUAAGCGCUGGUGAAGAGCGGGCCUAACUCUGAGGCUCUCACGGUAG
rnacentral:rRNA from 1 species